CCUACGGGUGGCAGCAGUGGGGAAUAUUGGACAAUGGGCGAAAGCCUGAUCCAGCCAUGCCGCGUGUGUGAAGAAGGCCUUCGGGUUGUAAAGCACUUUCAGUGGGGAAGAAAGCCUUGGGGCUAAUACCCUCGAGGAAGGACAUCACCCACAGAAGAAGCACCGGCUAACUCCGUGCCAGCAGCCGCGGUAAUACGGAGGGUGCGAGCGUUAAUCGGAAUUACUGGGCGUAAAGCGCGCGUAGGCGGUCUGAUAAGCCGGUUGUGAAAGCCCCGGGCUCAACCUGGGAACGGCAUCCGGAACUGUCAGGCUAGAGUGCAGGAGAGGAAGGUAGAAUUCCCGGUGGAGCGGUGAAAUGCGUAGAGAUCGGGAGGAAUAACAGUGGCGAAGGCGGCCUUCUGGACUGACACUGACGCUGAGGUGCGAAAGCGUGGGUAGCAAACAGGAUUAGAUACCCCAGUAGUC
rnacentral:rRNA from 1 species